GUCAGGAUGGCCGAGCACUCUAAGGUGCUGCGUUCAGGUCGCAGUCUCCCCUGGAGGCGUGGGUUCGAAUCCUACUUCUGACA
rnacentral:tRNA from 1 species